AUUCAUUCAGGUUAAUCCAGAGCAUGUGAUGCUUCAAUUUGUACUAACCUCAGAGAUGAUAACUUGCAGCUGUACUUUAAGGAGUGAGUUGAUGCAAGAUGGAGAGAGGAGAAGGAAAAGGGGCCUACCAAAAAAUAGCAGCACAAAGGACAGUGAACAAGAUCAUGUUGUCCAGAUGCCAACUUCAGGAAAAACAACUGUCCGGUUUUCCUCAAGGCACCUGGAGUGAGCAGAAGUCCAGCCACCAGUUUUUCGUUAUUGCAAAAAUCCUCAACCCUCUGAAGACGGUUAUUUUGCUUCAUUCUCUGUUCAUGACUAUGACCUUUUAUAACACUUUGUCAUUUAUUUCAUGCCCGUACCACAGAUAUGAAUGAAAAUCUAGUCUGUUUCUAUUAGCAGGAUGAAUGGAAUUGUUCUUCAGUUGUACCCAAGCACCUUUAUAUUAAAUCAAAUUGCUUCAUGGUCAGA